GGGAGGAUCACUUGAGCCCAGGAGUUGGAGACCAGCUUGGGCAACAUAGCGAGACCUCAUCUCUACAAAAAAUAAAAGAAAAUAUUAGCUGAGUGUGGUGGCAUGCAAUUGUUGUCCCAGCUACUUGGGAGGCUGAAGUGGGAGAAUCGCUUAAGCCAGAAAGGUGGAGGCUGCAGUGAGCCGUGAUUAUGCCACUGCAUUCCAGGCUAGGUGGCAAAGUGAGAUCCUGUCUCAAAAAAAAGAAAAGAAAAGAAAAAAGAAAGAAGGAAGGAAAGAAGGAAGGAAGGAAGGAAAAGGAAGAAAGGAAGGAAGGAAAAAGAAAGAAAAAGGAAGGAAGGAAGGAAGGAAAGAAGAAAGGAAGAGCUCCAGUUUUGCAUGUCUGCAAAUCAAGCAAGGCACUGCUGAGUACAGGUUAGGUGUGGAGCAGAUAGCAAACGCCUGAUGAAUGAGGGUCUGGUCAGACUUCUAAAGAUGGCCCCUCAAAAGUUUUCCCAAGCUGGUGACAGAAGAGAAAUGCGAAGAGAGAUUUGAAGCAUGAGGGGAAUUUGCCGCACCAUUGCUGACUUGAACUUGGAGGGAUCACAGGAGAAGGACUGUGGGUGACUGCAAGGAGCCAGGAGAGGCUAACAGCCUCAAGAAAACAGGAACCUCAAUCCUGGAAACUCGGGAAAUUGAAUCCUUUCCCCAACAUGAAUGAGCCUGGAAGAUUUCUCUUCAGUUCCCAGAUGAGAACACAGCCAAGGUUCAGCCUUGGAAACCUUGAGCAGAGAACCCAGCCAUGUGUGUAGGACCUCUGAGCUUCAGAACUGCUGGCUUAUGACUUCGGUGGCAGGACACUUUGUGACUUCUGAGGCUGGGUCAUAGAAGGCAAUACAGCCUCCAUCUCUGAUGACAUUGGAACCCAGCCACCAUGCUGUGAGGAAGCCCAAGCGUCCUGUGGAGAGAUUAUGUGGGAGAGAACCAAGGCCCCCAGGCCACAGCAUUGGCUGAGCUCCCAGCCAACAGCCAGCAUCAAUUUGUGGAUAUUCUUGGAAGCAGAUAUUCCAGUCUCAAGAUGAGUUGUCCCAGCUGAUACCACAUUGAGCAGAGAUGAGCUGUUCCUGAUUGUCUAACUGUAAGCAAAAUAAAUGAUUUUCAUUAUUUUAAGCCAUUUAAGUUUUAGAGUGGUUUGUUAUGCUGCAAUAGAUAGAGAUAAUUCAUUAAUU
rnacentral:lncRNA from 1 species